CCCAGAUGGUGCGCAUCACACUCAUUAUUGUACUGGCUACUUCCUGGGCAGCAAUGCUGAAUAGAAGCGGAUAUAUUUGUCUUGUUCUAAAUCUCAAGACACAAACCCACCACAUUUUACUAGUAGAGUAUCACUCUGUUACCCUGGGUAGAGUGCCGUGGCGUCAUC